GAUGAACGCUGGCGGCGUGCCUAAUACAUGCAAGUCGAGCGAACAGAUAAGGAGCUUGCUCCUUUGACGUUAGCGGCGGACGGGUGAGUAACACGUGGGUAACCUACCUAUAAGACUGGGAUAACUUCGGGAAACCGGAGCUAAUACCGGAUAACAUUUGGAACCGCAUGGUUCUAAAGUGAAAGAUGGUUUUGCUAUCACUUAUAGAUGGACCCGCGCCGUAUUAGCUAGUUGGUAAGGUAACGGCUUACCAAGGCAACGAUACGUAGCCGACCUGAGAGGGGUAUGCGCCACCCGGGAACUGAGACUGCGUCCAGACUCCUACGGGAGGCAGCAGUAGGGAAUCUUCCGCAAUGGGCGAAAGCCUGACGGAGCAACGCCGCGUGAGUGAUGAAGGGUUUCGGCUCGUAAAACUCUGUGAUUAGGGAAGAACAAAUGUGUAAGUAACUGUGCACGUCUUGACGGUACCUAAUCAGAAAGCCACGGCUAACUACGUG
rnacentral:rRNA from 1 species